rnacentral:rRNA from 1 species
GACGAACGCUGGCGGCGUGCCUAAUACAUGCAAGUAGAACGCUGAAGGAGGAGCUUGCUUCUCUGGAUGAGUUGCGAACGGGUGAGUAACGCGUAGGUAACCUGCCUGGUAGCGGGGGAUAACUAUUGGAAACGAUAGCUAAUACCGCAUAAUAGCAGUUGUUGCAUGACAACUGUUUGAAAGGUGCAAUUGCACCACUACCAGAUGGACCUGCGUUGUAUUAGCUAGUUGGUGGGGUAACGGCUCACCAAGGCGACGAUACAUAGCCGACCUGAGAGGGUGAUCGGCCACACUGGGACUGAGACACGGCCCAGACUCCUACGGGAGGCAGCAGUAGGGAAUCUUCGGCAAUGGACGGAAGUCUGACCGAGCAACGCCGCGUGAGUGAAGAAGGUUUUCGGAUCGUAAAGCUCUGUUGUAAGAGAAGAACGAGUGUGAGAGUGGAAAGUCCACACUGUGACGGUAUCUUACCAGAAAGGGACGGCUAACUACGUG